GCAGGUGUACACAAAUAAGUGCUUGGCUGCUAACUAAAAGGUUGGUGGUUCAAGUCCACCCAGUGGCA
rnacentral:tRNA from 1 species